rnacentral:rRNA from 1 species
GAAGGAUCAUUAUUGAAAUAACCUGAUGAAGUUGCUGCUGGUUCCCUAGGGAGCAUGUGCACGCUUGUCAUCUUUAUAUAUCUCCACCUGUGCACCUUUUGUAGACCUGGUGCCUCUGAAUGGCUAGCCAACUCAGGUUUGAGGGAUUGACUUCAUGUCUCUCCUUUACAUUUCCAGGCCUAUGCUUCUUUCAUAAUACUCAAUUCUAUGUCUUAGAAUGUAAUCAAAUGGCCUUUGUGUCUAUAAACCAAUAUACAACUUUCAGCAACGGAUCUCUUGGCUCUCGCAUCGAUGAAGAACGCAGCGAAAUGCGAUAAGUAAUGUGAAUUGCAGAAUUCAGUGAAUCAUCGAAUCUUUGAACGCACCUUGCGCUCCUUGGUAUUCCGAGGAGCAUGCCUGUUUGAGUGUCAUUAAUAUAUAUCAACCUCUCUAGCAUUUGCUUGUAGAGUGUUGGAUUUGGGGGGGUUUUGCUGGUCUUUAUUCAGGUCAGCUCCCCUGAAAUGCAUUAGCGGAACGAUUGUAAACCUGUUCAUUGGUGUGAUAACUAUCUAUGCUAUUGACGUGAAGCAAAAGUUCAGCUUAUAACAGUCUAUUCACUUGGACAAAUUUUGAUUAAUGUGACCUCAAAUCAGGUAGGACUACCCGCUGAACUUAA